GCGGACGUGGCGGAACGGUAUACGCGCAACGUUGAGGUCGUUGUGGGCUUAGGCUCAUGGAGGUUCAAAUCCUCUCGUCCGCAC
rnacentral:tRNA from 1 species